CCUGAGUGUACGUGUUUGUGACAAGUGAAAUUAAAUUGUAUUAAAAUAUCAUACUAAACUAUAUUGCUGAUAUCAGACGUACGAAAAGCAGAAGGAAGAGUUAAAGAGAAGUCCAGAUUCAUUAUUUCUGACUUAAAUAGUCUUCAGAAAUGCUCCAGAUAUUUUGUUGAUGUUGAAAAGGCACAACGUGAUAGAACGCCAUGACACCAGAUGUUGGUUUGAAAUAUAAUUUUGUAAAGAAUUGAUUCAUAUUCGAAACUGCGUUCUAUCAUUGAAUAGGAGGUAUGUACCUACCCCGGUAUCUUCCUAUUUUUCCGGCUUUUCCGAUAAAGAUCUGUUAUAUUUUCCCAAGCCUGUGCACGCGGAUAGAAAUUUACGUGGAAAUGGAAAUUUAGUUUCACAUGGAAAAACACUCGCACCCGAACGGGACUCGGUUCUGGGAUAUUCAGAACCCAAAGCAAGCAUGCUAUUCACUUCUCCACAAAGGGCCUCCUAUAUUUUGUUACAUUUUUCCGUGUUUUCUUUGCAACCGAAAUCAAUAUCUUCCUCAAAAGCAGUAUCGAUGUAAUUGAAGCAUAGAAACCAAUAUUUUAUUUCAAUGUUUGUUUGCUAAUGGGUCAAGGAUGAAACUUUUCAAAUUUAGGUGCUGUUCCAUGGUCACAGGAAAUGAGAUUUCGAAGCAUUUUUCAAAGAUCUUGCCUUUUUUUUUUUCAAUUAACUCCGCUGUCGAACGAUCAGAGGGGAAAUGCGAUUGGAAAUUUUCCCAAACAAUUUAAUCAAGAAGUGAAAAGAGAAGUAGGUUAUGAAUUAACAUUUUCUCUAGAUGAUUUACUUAAUUGAUUAGAUCUCUGGGGUUCGAAGAGAAUGAUAAUCUUUUCCCGUGCAAAAUGGAACGCUUCAACGUUUACUGGCCAACAUGUAAUAUCGUAAUUGAAUCGCCGUGGACUAUGUA